rnacentral:rRNA from 1 species
AUGCCCAGUCGUAAAAACAACUCACACCCACAUACGCCAGGGAAUUACGAGCAUAGCUUAAAACCCAAGGGACUUGACGGCGCCCCACCCCACUAGAGGAGCCUGUCCUAGAAUCGAUAAUCCCCGCUUAACCUUACCACUUCUUGCUUUACUCAGUUAGUAUACUUCCGUCGUAAGCUUACCGUGUGAAUGAACAUAGUAGGCCCAAUGAUUAUACAUCAAUACGUCAGGUCAAGGUGCAGCAUAAGAAGUGGGCUGAGAUGGGCUACAAUUUCUAACUUAGAAUACACGAAACACUAAAUGAAAAACACUGUGAAGGUGGAUUUAGAAGUAAAAAGAAAAUAAAGUGUUCUUUUUAACAGCGGCACUGGGACGCGUACAAACCGCCCGUCACCCUCCUCGAUUUAUCAUAAAUAGUAAAUAACACAAACUACGUCAUGAGAGGAGGCAAGUCGUAACAUGGUAAGUGUACCGGAAGGUGCGCUUGGAUAG